rnacentral:rRNA from 1 species
UACAGAGGUCUCAAGCGUUUGUUCGGAUUCAUUGGGCGUAAAGGGUGCGUAGGUGGCGCUGUAAGUCGGGUGUGAAAUUUCGGAGCUUAACUCCGAAAACUGCAUUCGAUACUGCGGUGCUUGAGGACUGGAGAGGAGACUGGAAUUCAUGGUGUAGCAGUGAAAUGCGUAGAGAUCAUGAGGAAGACCAGUGGCGAAGGCGGGUCUCUGGACAGUUCCUGACACUGAGGCACGAAGGCCAGGGGAGCAAACGGG